rnacentral:tmRNA from 1 species
GGGGUAGUUCCGGAAUUCGACAGGUUAUUACAAACAUGGACUGCGUUUCCGUUUGUCGGGUCAUAGACUGCAGAUAUAACUGCAAAAAAUAAUGAACCAUCUUACGCAUUAGCUGCUUGAUCGCAGUCGCGUAGCCUCUUGUUGAGUCCACGGCAACAUUUUGGCCUAAUAGUGGAUUAGCUGUUGGCGCUUCUGUUCGGAACAAAAAUAGUGACAAAUUAAUCGAACUAGUUCUGAGUUUGUAAGUUAGCAAACGAAUUCAGAGCGAAAUUAACUGUUAACUAUAAACGUAGAUGUUCAUGUGAUUGGAUGAUUUGGACAUGGGUUCGACUCCCAUCUACUCCA